UGAACCCCGGAGGGCGCGUUUAUUUAACAAUAUAUAGGUGAUAGGUGAAUGGUGAGCCGGUGCACAACCGCUGUCAGUGGCGUUAUCUUCUGGGUGCUCGGUGCUCUGGGUGCAGUCGGUGAGUACGGCAACGGUGAUUCUUGGGGGAAUUAGCUCCGUGUCGCGGUUCAAGGACUGGCUUCUAGAAGAUACAAAAGAGAUAACAGUCAGAGACAGCAUGUAGGAGUGUCGUAGCUCACUGGAGUGCGAGCCUGACGUGGCUUAUCUGGCCACCGGCAAACGAGCUCCAGGUGCGGCGAGUCCGGUGAUUAGUGGCUUUCCCAGGUGAUGGUGGUUUAUUCCCAGGGCAACGCUGAUGGUAGCUCGGGACGCCCGUCACAAUAUAUUACUGUUCAACUAAAAACUCGAAUUAUAGUUUUUCAUUACAAUCAGUGUUUGAUAACCUUUAAAUUUUUUGUGGUUCAGUGCACAUUGAAUUGAACUUUUCUUCGUCUUGUCUGCAGAUGAAAGCUGUCAGUAUGUGACUGGAAUUGUGGGUAAAAACCUGUUACUCCUGAAAGAGCUGAAUCUGAGUGGACAUAAACUAGAAGACACACGAGUGAAUCAGAUCUCUGCUCUACUGCAGGAUAAACACUUGUAUCAUAGAUAUAUAUGGGUAGAUUUCACACUGUAGAUGUGUUGCUAUUACAUCCAUUAAUAUUCCAGGGAAAGCGGUUAAUUAUUGCUUCAACAAUUCUAUACUCAAAAUUGCAUAACGUUUUUAAGAAGUAUACAGAAUUUAACAUCCACAGCCUCUUCAAACUUCUGCUGUCUGGAGAUGGUGCUGGAAAAAAAAAAAGGACAGAAAGACUCACAACACAAAGACUCACAAAACACAAGUAAAUGCACUCUGCACUUUCCAUGAGUUUCCUUGUAUCUGUUUUUCAUGAAGACAAACAGCUCUUGAAAACACUGUCACAAGACAAAAACAUAAUGAAAAGUAAUAUAAAAAAACAAGAAACAUAAUAUAACGUAAAAUAUAUAAUUUACAUGAAUAAUCAAUUAACAAAUCAAUAAGUAUAUAAAUGGCUUUAAAGAUAAUUAUUAUGAUUAAAUGGAAUAUUAAAAAUGAUUAAAUACUAAAUGAUUAAAUUGAAAUAAAAAUAAUAAAUGAAGAAGACACAUGCUGCAUUUUAGGUGUAAUGAGGAGUCAUUCUUAUAUAGUAGUCUAAUGGGGUACACCUGGGCAAGUAAUCAGGGCUGGGAAAUGGCAUGAUGGGAAAUUGAGUUCUGAGGACUAAUAUUCUGGGGAGUGUUCCCUCCGGUGGCCACCGGAGAGAGCCACAGAGGCGCGGUUCAUGACAUUAGGAUCCUCAGAUUCUUCAAUAUCAUCUCUCUGUCAUCAAACAACCAGAUGAAUGAAUCUCUAACACAACUGAACAGAACAGAACUAGACUGGGCUUAUUUCAGUGCAGGCACUGGUUCUUCAGCUUUACCUGUUUCAUAGAAAUAUUAUUGUACUUAACAUCUACAGAAAAAGAUACAGUUUUACUUGGAUCAGCAAAGUUGAAUCUGUGUAGUAAAGCUGAUCAAGAUACUGAGCAGAGCAAAGAGAUGCACAUAAACCACAGAAGUACAUUAAAUAUGACACAUGUUCAUGGUUUGAUUAAAUGAUCAACUCAUUUUUUUUUGUUUUGUUUUAAAGACCAAAUUGUGAAAAACUUUGUUUUUACACAGACAUUAUGAUGUUAUUAAAUAGUUUUUUAUCUUCUCUCUUUCUCUGAAUUCAGGUUGGUUUGACAGAUGAAGGUUGUUCUGCUGUGACUUCAAACAGCUGCUCUGAAAUCAAACCAUCUGAGAGAAUUAGAGAGUUGGAAUAAACUCGGAGACUCUGGAGGAAACAACUCAGUGAUCUACUGAUGAACACUGUUUAAUAAUUAACAAAGUUUAGUGUCCCGCUGUUCUUGUAGAAUACCUCUAAACGGAUUCUAAAUCUCAUAGGGUGUAAUGGCCGGGGAGCAAAAAGACACACAGAGAUGUAUAUUUCCUUACUCCGGUUUAUUCCUGAAUACCUCAGUGAUCUACUGAUGAACACACAAUUCAAGCUGAAUAUUACAGAGAAACAGUGUCUCAUCCUGACUUCAGCAAUGAAAGCAAAACCACCACACCUGAAAGAAAUGAAACUGAGCUGGAAUCAAAAGAAGAACAUAGGAGUGGAUCACUUAUAUGACAGACUGAAGUAUUCACACUGUAAACCGGAGAGAUUAAGUGUAGGUUAAGCAGCUGUGGUUUGACAGAUAAAGGUUGUUCUGCUGUGUCUUCAGCUCUGAAUUCAAACCCAUCACACCUUAGCGAAUCAAACCAUCACAUGUGUCACGCUCCGGUCAAGGAAGUAAACAGAAUCACUGUAAUGGAAAAGGGGUUCUUUAAUGAACAACAAAAAGGUGGCGUACAGCCUCAAACUUUAACAAAAGAACACAGGAACAUCCAAGUUCUUUCCUUUAUCUGGAUACCACUCUCCAGGGGAAUUCCAAAGGGAAGAGCAGACAGGUUGACGGGAAGACGGCCGGAGUACUAGGUUGGUAACCUCAAGGAUCGCCGUUGUGGAAGGGGUGAGUGUGGUUUAUGAAGGGUGGUUGUUGCAGGUGUUGCUGAUUAGUACUCGGGUGAUUGGGAUCGUGUCCAUGUGGUGAGUCCGGUGGAAGGUGGAAGUGAUGACGUGACAACAUGAAUGGAAUUGGACCUGAGUUGGAAUAAACUCUGAGAAUCUGGAGUAAAACACCUCAGUGAUCUACUGAUGAAAACUGUUAAAUAAUUAACAAAGUUUAGGGUCCUGCUGUUCUUGUAGAAUACCUCUAGACGGAUUCUAAAUCUUAUAGGGUGUAAUGGCCGGGGGGCAAGAAGACACACAGAGAUGUAUAUUUUCUUACUCCGGUUUAUUUCAGAAUACAAUGAUGUAUAUAAGCAUUUUCAGGGGGGAGUUUUACCCCUCUAGCCAGUGAAACAAAAGAUGACAUAUGUUGUAUCCAUGUCAAAAGAUAUUUACUUAUAUAAGAUAAAGGAAAUUAUGAACAUAUAUAGAGUACUUUUGGACAAAGAAAAACACUUCUUAGUAUUGAAAGUGUAGAGCAAACUCAUUCACCCCACGACUCAGAGUAGCGCACACACCAAUGACCAACUGAACCCUUCUAACAUGUAAAAGGAUGGACAGAUCACACAUACUACAGAACACUAAGGGGAUAUAAAAAGAAAAUCACGUCUAGGAGUAGAGAAAUCUAACAAACACACAAUUCUAGCUGAAGAAACUAGAAUUAGUAUUAUUAUUAGUUUAUUAAGGAAAUCAAUAUCAGCAAUAUUUCAAUGCUUAUUUAGAUUAAUUGGGUACAUAAUUUAUUUCCAAAAAUUAAUGGACCCUUGUGAUGUUUCAUGAAAAUACUUGUCCCUUUCUGGACAAGUCAGAAACUUUCACACAUAAAAAUAAAGUGUUAUUUCAAUUAAAAUGAAUGAAGUGUGACGUCUCUCUUUCUCUCAGUGUAGGUUAAGCAGCUGUGGUUUGACAGAUGAAGGUUGUUCUGCUGUGCCUUCAGCUCUGAAAUCAAACCCAUCACAUCUAAGAGAAUUGGACCUGAGUUGGAAUAAACUCAGAGAUUCUGGAGUGAAACAACUCAGUGAUCUACUGAUGAACACACAUUUCAAAAUGAAGAAACUAAAAUUAGUAUCAUUAUUAGUUUAUUAUGGAAAUCAAUAUCAGCAACAUUUCAAUGCUUAAUAUCAUUGAUGUAAAAGUGUCCACAAUUUAUUUCCAAAAAUGAAUAGACUCUUGUAAUGUUUCAUGAAAAUACUUGUCCCUGUCUGAUUCAUUGUCUUUUCUCUUUAUUUAUUCACUUUCUAUAAAUGUGGUAUUAGAGAGAAACAGUGUCUUAUCCUGACAUCAGCUAUGAAAACAAACCCACCACACCUGAAAGAAAAGAAACUGAGUUGGAAUCAGAUGAAGAUUGUUCUGCUGUCACUAGCAAUCUUCAAAAACAAACUCAAAACUCAUCUUUUUCGUUUACACUUGACCCAACAUAGAUAGCACUUUCUUCUUCUUCUCCUGCUCUUUCCUAUCCUUU